GGAGACGAAGAUGGCGGCGGCGGUGACGCGCUGCUCGUGUGAUUGAGGACGGUCAGCCAGUGAGCGCAGAGACUGGUUCCACCCCGGGCAGGGGGAGCGCCGGGCUAGGCCCUGCUCCCUGGGCCGCGGAGCUUGCAGUCUCACCUCUGUCUGAAUCGACCUUUCCUUUCUAUCGCCGACUCCCUCCCUGUCUUCCCCCAGCCUUCUCCGCAGAGGCCAUGGAGGACGAGGAGAGACAGAAGAAGCUGGAGGCCGGCAAAGCGAAGCUUGCCCAGUUUCGACAAAGGAAAGCUCAGUCUGAUGGGCAGAAUCUUUCUAAGAAGCAGAAAAAAAAGAAGAAAACUUCAAGCAGUAAACAUGAUGUGUCAGCAUACCAAGCUUUGAAUAUUGAGCAAUCACAGAAUGACGAGAUGUACGUAAAUAGUUCUCAGAGAGUAGGAUCAGCUGUGACUCCUGAAUCCACAAUAAUGAGAAACCUACAUGGUGGAGAAAUGAUCAGACGUGACCACGUUUUCUCUGUUGAACUGGAAAGUGAAAUUUCAACCACAGCAGAUGAUUAUAGUUCAGAGGUAAAUGGUUGCAGUUUUGUGGUGAGAACAGAAAAGCCUACAGAUUUGUUAAGGGAAGAAGAAUUUGGUGUUGAUGAUUCUUCUUCUGAACAUGGAGCACAGUUCAGUCAGACCCAUGUGGAGAUGGAGAAUGAAUUGGCUGGGAAACAGCAUGAGAUUGAAGAGCUAAACAGAGAACUAGAAGAAAUGAGGGCCACCUAUGGGACUGAAGGACUGCAGCAGUUACAAGAAUUUGAAGCUGCCAUUAAACAAAGAGAUGGCAUCAUAACCCAGCUCACUGCUAAUUUACAACAAGCAAGAAGAGAAAAGGAUGAGACAAUGAGAGAAUUUUUAGAGUUGACAGAACAAAGUCAAAAGUUACAGAUUCAAUUCCAACAUUUACAGGCUAGUGAAACUCUGAGAAACAGCACUCACAGUAACACAGCUGCAGAUUUACUACAAGCCAAACAGCAGAUCCUCACUCAUCAGCAACAGCUGGAGGAACAAGACCAUCUCUUAGAAGAUUAUCAAAAAAAGAAAGAAGACUUCAAAAUGCAAAUUAGUUUCUUACAAGAGAAAAUUAAAACAUAUGAAAUGGAACAAGACAAAAAGGUGGAAAGCUCAAAUAAAGAAAUACAGGAAAAGGAGGCGAUCAUUGAAGAAUUAAAUACAAAAAUAACUGAAGAAGAAAAGAGAACGCUUGAGCUAAAGGAUAAAGUAACAGCUGCUGAUAAAUUACUAGAAGAAUUGCAAGAACAUGUUUUACAAAAGAACCAAGAGAUAAAAAAUAUGAAAUUAGAGCUGACUAAUUCCAAGCAAAAAGAAAGACAGUGUUCUGAGGAAAUAAAACAAUUAAUGGGGACAGUUGAAGAACUUCAGAAGAAAAAUCAUAAAGACAGCCAAUUUGAAACUGAUAUCCUACAAAGAAUGGAACAAGAAACACAAAGGAAGUUAGAACAACUCCGGGCAGAGCUGGAUGAGAUGUAUGGGCAGCAGAUAGUGCAGAUGAAACAAGAGCUAAUAAAACAACACCUGUCACAGGUAGAUGAACUUAAAACACGACAUAAGGGAGAAAUGGAGAAUGCUUUAAGAUCAUAUCCAAAUAUUACAGUCAGUGAAGAUCAAAUAAAGUUAAUGAAUAUGGCAAUAAAUGAACUGAAUAUAAAAUUGCAAGAUACUAACUCUCAAAAGGAAAAACUCAAGGAAGAACUUGGAGUAAUUUCAGGAGAAAAGUCUGCUCUACAGAGACAGCUUGAAGACCUUUUUGAAGAAUUGAGCUUUUCAAGGGACCAAAUUCAGAGAGCUAGACAGACAAUAGCUGAACAAGAAAGUAAACUCAAUGAAGCAUAUAAGUCCCUUAGUACAGUUGAAGAUUUGAAAGCUGAGAUUGUUUCUGCAUCCGAAUCCAGGAAGGAACUAGAAUUAAAACAUGAAGCAGAAGUUACAAAUUAUAAGAUAAAACUUGAAAUGUUAGAAAGAGAAAAGAAUGCUGUGUUAGACAGAAUGGCUGAAUCACAAGAAGCUGAAUUAGAGAGGCUGAGGACACAGCUUCUGUUUAGUCAUGAAGAAGAACUUUCCAAACUGAAGGCAGAUUUAGAAAUUGAACAUCGAAUCAAUGUUGAAAAACUUAAAGAUAACUUAAGUAUUCACUAUAAACAGCAGAUAGAUGGCUUACAGAAUGAAAUGAGUCAAAAGAUAGAAACUAUGCAGUUUGAAAAAGACAAUUUGAUAACUAAGCAGAAUCAAUUAAUUUUGGAAAUUUCAAAGCUAAAAGAUUUACAGCAGUCCCUUGUGAAUUCAAAAUCAGAAGAAAUGACUCUUCAAAUCAGUGAACUUCAAAAAGAAAUUGAAAUACUCAGACAAGAAGAAAAGGAAAAGGGUACACUUGAACAAGAAGUUCAAGAAUUACAACUUAAAACUGAAUUAUUGGAGAAACAAAUGAAGGAAAAAGAGGAUGAUCUUCAAGAAAAAUUUGCACAACUUGAAGCAGAGAAUAGCAUUCUUAAAGAUGAAAAGAAAGCCCUUGAAGACAUGUUGAAAAUAUAUACUCCUGUUAACCCAGAAGAAGGAUUAAUUUUCAUAGACUCCAUUAAGUCCAAAUCCAAAGACUGUAGCUGGCAAAAAGAAAUAGAAAUACUUACGGAGGAAAAUGAGGACCUCAAAAAACAAUGUAUUCAGCUAACUGAAGAGAUUGAAAAGCAAAGGAACACUUUUUCAUUUGCUGAAAAAAAUUUUGAAGUUAACUAUCAAGAAUUACAGGAGGAUUAUUCUUGCCUUCUCAAGGUAAAAACUGAUUUAGAAGACAGUAAAAAUAAACAAGAAAUAGAGUAUAAAAGUAAGCUUGAAGCACUUAGUGAAGAGCUUCAUCAUUUGCAAAGAAUAAAUCCAACUAUAGUAAAAAUGAAAAGGUCAGUCUUUGAUGAUGACAAAACUUUUAUAGCAGAACCAUUGGAAAUUGGUGAGGUUGUUGAGAAAGAUACAACCGAACUUAUGGAAAAACUCGAAGUAACCAAGCGAGAAAAAUUAGAACUGUCAGAGAGACUGUCUGAUCUUUCUGAACAAUUAAAACAGAAACAUAGUGAGAUUAGUUUUCUAAGUGAAGAAGUUAAAUGUUUAAAGCAAGAGAAGGAGCAAGUCUUAUUGCGAUGUAGGGAACUAGAAAUCAUAAUUAACCAUAAUAGGACAGAAAGUGUUAAUGUCUGUGAUGUUCAGUUAAGCACUUUAAGAGAUGGAGUUGUGACAACGACAAGCAGAGAUUCUGGAAUUUCUAAAAUAAAUAAAAGUUUUGGUGAAGAAUCAAAAAUAAUGAAGGAAGAUAAAAUUUCUUUUGAAAAUAUGACUUUUGGAAAAGAAAGCAAGCAAGAACAGUUGGUUUUGAAUCACUUGCCAUCAGUGACAAAUGAAUCAUUGCCUGGGACAGUUGAACCAAGUGAAAAUGAUAAACUUCAGCAGGAACUCAGUGUACUUAAGUCUGAACAGAAUGAUUUAAGGCUACAGAUGGAAGCUCAACGUAUAUGCCUCUCUCUGGUUUAUUCAACUCAUGUGGAUCAGGUUCGUGAAUACAUGGAAAAUGAAAAAGAUAAAGCCCUUUGCAGUCUUAAAGAGGAGCUUAUUUCUGCUCAAGAGGAAAAGAUCGAAGAACUUGAGAAAAUGCACCAGCUAGAGCUACAGAAUAUAAAAACACAAGAAACAGGUGAUGAAGUGAAGCCUUUACAAAUGCUCAUUGGAAAGCUUCGCAAGGCAGUGUCUGAAGAAUGUUCUUGUUUUACACAGACUUUUUGCAAUGUACUUGGUGAACAUUAUACUCCUGCUUUAAAAUGUGAAGUAAAUGUAGAAGAGAGGGGGAAUUCUGGUGUUCACACUUCUGAAAAUCAAGAACUAGAAUUGCAAGAUUAUAGAUAUGAAGUUCAAGACUUUCAAGAAAAUAUGCAAACUCUUCUCAACAAAGUAACAGAAGAAUACAACAGACUGUUGGUACUUCGGACACGAUUAAGUAAGAUUCAGGAACAGCAGACAGAUGGUAUGAAACUUGAAUUUGCAGAAGAAAACCUACCAAAUGAGGAAACAGAAUUUUUAUCAACCCGUUCUCAGAUGACCAGUUUGCAAGACAUUGAUGUCAGUCAUAAAAGCAAGUUAUCUACUCUGCAAGAUAUCGAAAAAAUUAAACAACUUGAAGGACAAGUUCAAGAAUUAGAAAACCUCAUAUCCUCUUUGCAGCAACAAUUGAAAGAAACUGAAGAAAACUAUGGGGCAGAGAUCCAUUGUUUGCAGGAAAGGCUUCAAGCUGUUAGUGAGUCCACAGUUCAGCCAAGCUUCUCUAUUGAUUCAGUGGUAAUUACUGAAUCUGAUGUACAGAAAACAAUAUACCCUGGAAGCUGUCUAAAAGAGAACAUUGAUGGUACAAUAGAGUUUUCUGGUGAAUCUGGAGUGAAGCAGGAAACAAAUAUGGUUACGUUGCUGGAAAAACAAUACCAAGAACGAUUAGAAGAAGAAGUAGCUAAGGUCAUUGUGUCAAUGAGUAUAGCAUUUGCUCAACAAACUGAACUAUCUAGACUAUCUGGGGAAAAAGAAGAGACUACAUCAUCAAAACAAAUACAUACUCUCUGUCAGCAAGAAAAACAACAUUAUUUAAAUAAAAUGAAAUCACAGGGUCAGCUUGGUUUUCAGACUUUGGAGGCAACGGACAUGAAAUUUAAAGAAGAAUUUAAACCACUUAGUAAAGAGUUAGGAGAAGAUGGAAAGGAAGUUCUCUUAUCAAAUAAUGAUAAUCUUGACGAUAUACUAGAAUCAAAGGACCAUGAACUGACUAUUUCAGAAGAAAUGUUCUCCAAAGAUAAAACAUUUAUAGCCAGAGAAUCUAUCCGUGAUGAGAUUUUGGUAGCAAGCAUGGAUGCUUCUAGACAGCUAAUGUUAAAUGAAGAACAGUUGGAAGAUAUGAGGCAGGAACUCGUACGACAAUAUGAAGAACAUCAACAGGCAACAGAACUGUUAAGGCAGGCACACAUGCGCCAGAUGGAGAGACAACGAGAAGACCAGGAACAGCUACAAGAAGAGAUUAAGAGACUGAAUAAACAAUUAGCCCAGAGAUCCUCAAUAGAUAAUGAAAACCUGGUUUCAGAAAGAGAGAGGGUGCUUUUAGAGGAGCUGGAAGCACUAAAGCAGCUGUCUCUAGCUGGAAGAGAGAAGCUGUGUUGUGAGCUGCGCAACAGCAGUACGCAAACACAGAACGGAGAUGAAAACCAAAGGGAAGUUGAGGAACAGACCUUUAAAGAAAAGGAAUUAGACAGAAAACCUGAAAAUGUGCCUCCUGAUAUUCUGUCUAAUGAAAGGUAUGCACUCCAGAAAGCUAAUAACAGACUUCUGAAGAUCCUCUUAGAAGUUGUAAAGACAACAGCAGCUGUUGAAGAAACAAUUGGUCGCCAUGUCCUUGGUAUUCUAGAUAGAUCUAGUAAAGGCCAGUCAUCUGCCAGCUUGAUUUGGAGGUCAGAAGCAGAGGCACCUAUAAAGUCAGGUGUCCAUGAGGAACACACAGGAGUUACAGAUGAAUGUAUACCUUCUUGUUCUGGAAGUGAUGUGCCAAGAAAUGACAGUAGUAUGUGGUCAAAAGUAACUGAGGAAGGAACAGAGCUGUCACAACGGCUUGUGAGGAGUGGUUUCGCUGGAACUGAAAUAGACCCUGAAAACGAAGAACUUAUGCUGAAUAUUAGCUCUCGACUACAAGCAGCAGUUGAAAAACUCCUAGAAGCCAUAAGUGAAACUAGUAGUCAGCUCGAACAUGCGAAAGUUACACAGACAGAGUUGGUGCGUGAGUCAUUUAGACAGAAACAAGAAGCGACCGAGUCCCUUAAGUGCCAAGAAGAACUGCGAGAGCGCCUUCAUGAGGAGUCCAGGGCCAGAGAACAGCUGGCUGUGGAGCUCAGUAAGGCUGAGGGUGUCAUUGAUGGCUAUGCAGAUGAAAAAACUCUUUUUGAAAGGCAAAUUCAGGAAAAAACUGAUAUAAUAGAUCGUCUUGAGCAGGAAUUGUUAUGUGCAGGUAGUAGAUUACAAGAAUUGGAAGCAGAGCAACAGCAGAUUCAAGAAGAAAGAGAGUUACUGUCCAGACAGAAGGAGGCUAUGAAAGCAGAGGCAGGCCCAGUUGAACAGCAAUUAUUACAAGAGACAGAAAAACUAAUGAAGGAAAAGCUAGAAGUACAGUGUCAAGCUGAAAAAGUAUGUGAUGACCUUCAAAAACAAGUGAAAGCUCUAGAAAUAGAUGUCGAGGAACAAGUCAGUAGGUUUAUAGAGCUGGAACAAGAAAAAAAUGCCGAACUAAUGGAUUUAAGACAGCAAAACCAAGCAUUGGAAAAACAGUUAGAAAAAAUGAGAAAAUUUUUAGAUGAGCAAGCCGUUGAUAGAGAACAUGAGAGAGAUGUAUUCCAACAGGAAAUACAGAAACUAGAGCAGCAACUUAAGGUUGUACCUCGAUUCCAGCCUAUCAAUGAACAUCAAACCAGAGAGGUUGAACAGUUAACAAAUCAUCUGAAAGAAAAAACAGACAAGUGCAGUGAGCUUUUGCUCUCUAAAGAGCAGCUUCAGAGGGAUGUACAAGAACGGAAUGAAGAAAUUGAGAAACUGGAGUUCAGAGUAAGGGAACUAGAGCAAGCCUUACUCCUUAGUGCAGACACUCUUCAAAAGGUAGAGGACCGAAAACAGUUUGGAGCUGUAGAAGCUAAAGCAGAAUUGUCCCUGGAAGUACAGUUGCAGGCUGAGCGAGAUGCCAUAGACAGAAAGGAAAAAGAGAUCACAAACUUAGAAGAACAGUUAGAGCAGUUCAGAGAAGAACUGGAAAAUAAGAAUGAAGAAGUUCAGCAACUACAUAUGCAAUUAGAAAUACAGAAAAAGGAAUCUACUACCCGCCUACAAGAACUUGAACAAGAAAACAAAUUAUUUAAGGAUGAAAUGAAGAAACUAGGAUUUGCCAUAAAGGAGUUUGAUGCUAUCUCUACUCAGGACCAACAUGUAGUAUUUGGGAAAUUUGCUCAAAUAAUGCAGGAAAAAGAGGUAGAAAUUGACCGAUUGAAUGAGCAGAUUGCAAAACUUCAGCAUCAACUUAAAAUUACAACAGAUAACAAGGUUAUUGAAGAAAAAAAUGAACUGAUAAGGGAUCUUGAAACCCAAAUAGAAUGUUUAAUGAGUGAUCAAGAGCAUGUGAAGAAAAAUAGAGAAGAAGAAAUAGAGCAGUUCAAUGAAGUGAUUGAAAAACUUCAACAGGAAUUGGCAAAUAUUGAACAGAAGACAUCAGUGGAUACCAGUUCUCUCCCAGAAGAAGCAGAUAGUUUAAAACAUCAGUUGGAGAUGGUAAUAGCUGAAAAACUGGCUUUGGAACAGCAAGUAGAAACCACUAAUGAAGAAAUGGCCCUUACGAAAAAGGUGCUUAAAGAAACCACUUUUAAAAUGAACCAGCUAACACAAGAAUUAUGCAUCUUAAAGAGAGAACGUGAAAAUAUGGAAAAAAUCCAAAGUGUACCAGAAAAAAAUGUUAACGUGGCCAUAGAUGAUCUGAGCAAAAACAAACCUGAGCUAGAAGUAGUCCUUACUGAGGAUGCUCUUAAACCCCUAGAAAAUCAGACUUACCUCAAAUCUUUUGAAGAAAACAGCAAAGUGUCCAUAAGCAGUUUGGAAACAAAGGUGCUACAACUUGAGGGCACUGUGAGUGCAAAGGACUUAGAACUUACCCAGUGUUAUAAACAAAUAAAGGACAUACAAGAGCAAGGCCAGUCUGAAACAGACAUGCUUAAGAAGAAGAUUGUAAACCUGCAGAAUAUACUUGAGGAAAAAGUUGCUGCUGCUCUGGUGAGUCAAGUCCAACUUGAAGCAGUUAAGGAAUAUGCAAAAUUCUGUCAAAAUAAACAAGCAAUUUCAUUAGAAUCUGAAAAAACAAAUAUACAGAAUUUAAGUCAACUAACAGAAAAUGAGACGGAGUCAAAUGUGUCAGCAUUAACCUUGAGAAUAUCAGAAUUAGAAAGCCAGGUGGUUGAAAUGCAGACUAGUUUGAUUUUAGAAAAAGAACAGGUAGAAAUUGCAGAGAAAAAUGCUUUGGAAAAAGAAAAGAAGCUACUAGAACUACAGAAGCUAUUGGAGGACAAUGAGAAAAAACAGGGAGGGAAAGAAAGGAAAAGCCUUCAAGGAGAUUUUGAAGUUCUCAAGACAAGUACUGAAUUAAUUCCUACCAAUGAAGAAAGUGGAUUUUUUGGUCAACUUGAGGCUCUUAGAGCUGAGUCAGCAGCUACCAAAGAAGAACUUGCCAGUUAUAAAGAGAAGGCAGAAAAGCUUCAAGAAGAACUUUUGGUAAAAGAAACUUAUAUAGCAUUUCUCCAGAAAGAUUUAAUCCAAGUUAGGGAUCAACUCACAGAGGCAGAAGAGAAAUUAUCCUACUUCUCAGAAAAAGAAGAUAAGACUGGGGUACAAGAAGACAGGAAGGUCUGCAUAUUAGAGCCACUUCCUAUUAAAGUGGGUAAAAGCUCUGCAUCCCAGACAGAGGGGACUGUCAAAGUCAAUAACAGCAAUCAGACUCCACAAAUUCUUGUUAGAAAUGUAGGAAUCCAAAUUGAUUUACGGAAUGAAUGUUCAUCAGAAGAAGUCACUGAAAUAAUCAGUCAGUUUACUGAAAAAAUCGAGCAGAUGCAAGAACUACAUGCUGCUGAAAUUUUGGACAUGGAAUCCAGACAUAUUUCAGAAACUGAAACCUUAAAGAGGGAACACUAUGUUGCUGUUCAGUUACUGACGGAGGAAUGUGGUACCCUGAAGACAGUGAUACAGUGUCUGAGAUCUAAAGAGGGAUCCUCAAUUCCUGAAUUAAUACAUUCUGAUGCUUACCAAACUAGAGAAAUAUGUUCCAGUGAUUCUGGAUCAGACUGGGGUCAGGGAAUUUAUCUUACACAAAGUCAGGGAUUUGACACAGCAUCAGAAGGCCAAGGAGAAGAAGGUGAAAGUUCAACAGAUUUAUUUCCAAAGAAAAUAAAGGGAUUGCUGAGAGCUGUCCAUAAUGAAGGUAUGCAGGUACUCUCUCUUACCGAGUCUCCCUAUAGUGAUGGAGAGGACCAUUCUGUUCAGCAAGUUUCAGAAUCUUGGCUAGAAGAGAGAAGAGCUUACCUCAGUACAAUCUCAUCUCUUAAGGAUGUAAUUACCAAAAUGCAAGUGCAAAGAGAAGCCAAGGUUUAUGAUAGUUCUCAAUCUCACGAGAGCUUCUCAGACUGGCGAGGUGACCUUCUGCUUGCCCUUCAGCAAGUUUUCUUAAAGGAGCGCAGUGUUUUAAUAGCUGCAUUUCAGACUGAGCUAACAGCUCUAGGUACUAGAGAUGCAGUUGGAUUAUUAAACUGUUUGGAACAGAGGAUACAAGAACAGGGUGUUGAGUAUCGAGCAGCUAUGGAAUGCCUCCAGAAAGCAGAUAGAAGGAGUUUAUUAUCUGAAAUUCAAGCACUGCAUGCUCAAAUGAAUGGUAGGAAAAGAGAACAAGAGAAUGAUCAACCAAGCCAAGAACUCUUGGAAUAUAAUAUGCAGCAGAAGCAGUCUCAAAUGCUGGAGAUGCAAGUGGAGCUCAGUAGUGUGAAAGACAAAGCAACAGAAUUACAAGAACAGCUGAGUUCUGAGAAAAUGGUGGUUGCUGAACUGAAGAGUGAACUUGCACAAACUAGGUUGGAACUCGAAACAACACUCAAAGCACAGCAUAAGCACCUAAAGGAAUUAGAGGCAUUCAGGUUGGAAGUUAAAGACAAAACAGAUGAAGUACAUUUGCUUAAUGACACAUUAGCAAGUGAACAGAAAAAGUCCAGAGAGCUCCAGUGGGCUUUGGAGAAAGAGAAAGCCAAACUGGGACGCAGUGAAGAGCGGGAUAAAGAAGAACUUGAGGAUCUGAAAUUUUCACUUGAGAGUCAGAAACAAAGAAAUAUUCAGCUAAAUCUACUUUUGGAACAACAGAAACAACUACUAAACGAAUCACAGCAGAAAAUAGAAUCACAAAGAGUGCUACAUGAUGCCCAGUUAUCAGAAGAACGAGGUCGAAACUUAGAGCUUCAAGUACUUCUUGAAUCCGAGAAAGUUCGAAUUCGGGAAAUGAGUAAUACCCUGGAUAGGGAGCGGGAAUUGCAUGCACAGCUGCAGAGCAGUGAUGAUGGUGGGCAGCCUCGGCCCUCCUUACCCUCUGAGGACCUCCUUAAGGAGCUACAGAAACAGCUAGAGGAGAAACACAGUCGCAUAGUAGAAUUGUUAACUGAGACUGAGAAAUAUAAACUGGAUUCUUUGCAAGCAAGACAGCAAAUGGAAAAGGAUAGGCAGGUUCACAGGAAGACAUUACAGACAGAGCAAGAGGCCAACACUGAGGGGCAGAAAAAAAUGCACGAGCUCCAGUCCAAAGUGGAAGAUCUUCAGCGUCAGCUGGAAGAGAAAAGGCAACAAGUUUAUAAGUUAGACCUUGAAGGAAAGCGACUGCAAGGAAUUAUGCAGGAAUUCCAGAAGCAAGAACUAGAACGGGAAGAAAAACGAGAAAGUAGAAGAAUGCUGUGUCAAAAUCUUAAUGAGCCAACCACGUGGAGUUUAACCAGUGAUCGAACUAGAAAUUGGGUUCUUCAACAGAAAAUAGAAGGAGAGACAAAGGAAUCAAGCUAUGCUAAACUGAUUGAAAUGAAUGGAGGAGGAACUGGCUAUAAUCAGGAAUUAGAAAUGAUCAGACAAAAGCUUCAACAUGUGACUUCAAAACUACAGCAUCUAGCCCAGAAAGCCUCCAACAGACUACAGUUUGAAACAGCAGAUGAUGAAGAUUUCAUUUGGGUUCAGGAAAAUAUUGAUGGGAUUAUUUUACAAGUACAAAAAUUAACUGGCCAGCCAGGCGAAGAGUCUAGCUUAGUGUCCCCAAGUACUUCUUGUGGCUCAUUGACUGAAAGACUACUGAGACAAAAUGCUGAGCUGACAGGACAUAUCAGCCAACUGACCGAAGAAAAGAAUGACUUAAGAAACAUGGUUAUGAAACUGGAAGAGCAGGUCAGAUGGUAUCGGCAGACAGGAGCUGGCAGAGAUCAUGUACUCUUCUAGGUUUUCAUUCAGUGGUGGCGCCGACAUUGAAGCCAUCAUUGCUUCCGAAAAAGAAGUCUGGAACAGAGAAAAGUUGACCCUCCAAAAAUCCUUGAAAAGGGCAGAAGCUGAAGUGUACAAACUGAAAGCUGAACUAAGAAAUGAAGCUUUACUUCAGAAUCUGAGCCCUGAUUCUGAGCAUGCCACCAUAAAGAGAAUAUAUGGUAAAUACCUGAGAGCAGAAAGUUUUCGGAAAGCUCUCAUUUAUCAGAAGAAAUACCUGCUGCUGUUACUGGGUGGAUUCCAGGAAUGUGAAGAUGCCACCCUGGCUCUGCUUGCCCGGAUGGGGGGGCAGCCAGCCUUCACAGAUCUGGAGGUGAUCACCAACCGUCCGAAGGGCUUCACCAGGUUUCGGUCGGCUGUCAGAGUGUCCAUGGCAAUUUCGAGAAUGAAAUUUUUGGUUCGACGAUGGCAUCGAGUCACAAGUUCUGGUUCCAUCAACAUUAACAGGGAUGGCUUUGGACUGAAUCCAGGUGCUGAAAAGACUGACCCGUUUUAUCAUUCUUCUGGUGGGCUGGAGCUGUAUGGAGAACCGAGACACACUACAUAUCGCUCAAGAUCAGACCUGGACUAUCCUAGGUCUCCUGUACCAUUUCAAAAUAGGUACCCCGGCCCUCCAGCUGAUUUAAAUCCUGGUUCCUUAGCAUGUUCUCAGCUUCAGAAUUAUGAUCCUGACAGAGCCCUGACAGAUUAUAUCACUCGGCUAGAGGCGCUGCAAAGACGACUUGGAACUGUACAGUCAGGUUCAACUCAGUUUCAUGCUGGCAUGAGAAGAUAAUUCUUUGAAACAUCAUGAAUCGAAGUGAUUUUAAACAAAUUCCCUUUUAUAAAUCAAUGGUUCUUUUGUGCUUUUGUAUUGUGAAUAUUCACUGGGACCAGUACGAACACAGCUUAUGAUUGUAUACCAAUGCCUUGCCAGCACAUGAAAACAAACUGGAAUUUGUACAUAUAAGCAUUGUGUAUGUAUUCAUGCACAGAAAUCAUUCAAUUACAUGUAUAUUUGUGGAAUGCUAAUUUAAAUGAUUAAAUUAUAAACUUUGUGUAUUUAUCGAAUGGGUGAAAAGAUUCAACUUUUGCGCAUUAGGAUACUGCUGAAUGUGUAGCUUGAGGUGUCCAGCACUUUUCUUAUAAGGCUACUGAAGUUACAUGUUUCUGCCUAAUAUAUUUGCUACUGGUGAUGAAGACAGAUAAUAUCACUUGUAGAGACCUAUUUUUGUAUAAUGGUAGAAGUUUUGAAUUUUACGGGGUAUUUUGUCAAGUACUGAAAUAAAAAUGACUUCACCAUUUUAA